AGAUUGAACGCUGGCGGAAUGCUUUACACAUGCAAGUCGAGCGGCAGCGCGGGGCAACCUGGCGGCGAGCGGCGAACGGGUGAGUAAUGCAUCGGAACAUGUCCAUGUCGUGGGGGAUAGCCCGGCGAAAGCCGGAUUAAUACCGCAUACGCCCGAGAGGGCAAAGUGGGGGAUCGCAAGACCUCACGCUUUUGGAGAAGCCUACGUCGGAUUAGCUAGUUGGUGAGGUAAUGGCUCACCAAGGCGACGAUCCGUAACUGGUCUGAGAGGAUGAUCAGUCACACCGGAACUGAGACACGGUCCGGACUCCUACGGGAGGCAGCAGUGGGGAAUAUUGGACAAGUGGGCGCAAGCCUGAU
rnacentral:rRNA from 1 species